UGGGGAAUAUUGCACAAUGGGCGCAAGCCUGAUGCAGCCAUGCCGCGUGUGUGAAGAAGGCCUUCGGGUUGUAAAGCACUUUCAGCGAGGAGGAAGGGUUCAGUGUUAAUAGCACUGUUCAUUGACGUUACUCGCAGAAGAAGCACCGGCUAACUCCGUGCCAGCAGCCGCGGUAAUACGGAGGGUGCAAGCGUUAAUCGGAAUUACUGGGCGUAAAGCGCACGCAGGCGGUUUGUUAAGUCAGAUGUGAAAUCCCCGCGCUUAACGUGGGAACUGCAUUUGAAACUGGCAAGCUAGAGUCUUGUAGAGGGGGGUAGAAUUCCAGGUGUAGCGGUGAAAUGCGUAGAGAUCUGGAGGAAUACCGGUGGCGAAGGCGGCCCCCUGGACAAAGACUGACGCUCAGGUGCGAAAGCGUGGGGAGCAAAACAGGAUUAGAUACCCUGGUAGUCCACGCUGUAAACGAUGUCGACUUGGAGGUUGUGCCCUUGAGGCGUGGCUUCCGGAGCUAACGCGUUAAGUCGACCGCCUGGGGGAGUACGGCCGCAAGGUUAAAAC
rnacentral:rRNA from 1 species